UGCGGGCGCUGGUGGAGGCAGGUCUCGACCGGCUUCCCCUGCCCGGCAGUGGCCGGACCCUGGAGCGUUUCCAGGCGCUGGCCGC
rnacentral:tRNA from 1 species